rnacentral:rRNA from 1 species
ACGUACACUCCUGCGGGAGGCAGCAGUGAGGAAUAUUGGACAAUGGGUGGAAGCCUGAUCCAGCCAUCCCGCGUGCAGGAAGACGGCCCUAUGGGUUGUAAACUGCUUUUAUCUGGGGAUAAACCUACUUACGUGUAAGUAGCUGAAGGUACCAGAAGAAUAAGCACCGGCUAACUCCGUGCCAGCAGCCGCGGUAAUACGGAGGGUGCAAGCGUUAUCCGGAUUUAUUGGGUUUAAAGGGUCCGUAGGCGGACUGAUAAGUCAGUGGUGAAAUCCGACAGCUUAACUGUCGAACUGCCAUUGAUACUGUUAGUCUUGAGUAAGGUUGAAGUGGCUGGAAUAAGUAGUGUAGCGGUGAAAUGCAUAGAUAUUACUUAGAACACCAAUUGCGAAGGCAGGUCACUAAGUCUUAACUGACGCUGAUGGACGAAAGCGUGGGGAGCGAACAGGAUUAGAAACCCGAGUAGUCCC